UUAGCGCCAGACCUUUUUAGGUGACGAGGAAUGAGUUUAUCGAAAAUUCGGCGGGUGGCUCAUAGGGUUUGCACUCUUAGGAUAAAGACAAAAUAACAAGGGAACUUGUUUGACAAAACUUUAUUCAU
rnacentral:ncRNA from 1 species